CCCGCAACGAGCGCAACCCUUAUCCUUUGUUGCCAGCGGUCCGGCCGGGAACUCAAAGGAGACUGCCAGUGAUAAACUGGAGGAAGGUGGGGAUGACGUCAAGUCAUCAUGGCCCUUACGAGUAGGGCUACACACGUGCUACAAUGGCGCAUACAAAGAGAAGCGAACUCGCGAGAGCAAGCGGACCUCAUAAAGUGCGUCGUAGUCCGGAUUGGAGUCUGCAACUCGACUCCAUGAAGUCGGAAUCGCUAGUAAUCGUAGAUCAGAAUGCU
rnacentral:rRNA from 1 species